AUGACCGGCUUGCUUGGGAAGUUGGUUGAGGGGUCGACGUCCCUUAGUGCCUCUGACAGCGACGCGGUUGCGAGGCAGUUCACUUCAUUUGUCCCAGAACAUACACAUCGGCCAACCGGUUGCCGUGGCCGGUACGACUACAACAGUUCCCAAGAGCCCGGUGACACACAAGAUGAUGUAGAUGGAGACGCUGGCCUCAGCAAGGAUGACGAUGAUGACAUGGAUAAAGUGCAUCAGGACACCGAUGAUGAUGAACAUGCUGAAGUUCGCACAGGUGGCAACAAGGGCAAGGAUGCAACAGAUGUCCCCCCACCGGAGAAAGUGAAAGAACAUAUGGUGUGA
rnacentral:rRNA from 1 species